GAAGCUUGACAUAUGGCAUUUGAGCAGAGACUUGAUACAGCUUGCAGAGGCUAGGCAUUUGGCUUGGCUUGAGUUUGGAACAAAUGACUUGUUAUGACUUGAUCAAUUCUUCGAUUGAUAAAUACUUUGCAAACUCCGUAUGUGCUGACGCUUAGUGCACUGGUCUGGUUCACAAGCGACUAACACUGAAGUCACACAUUGUACCUUCUUUGUCAGCAAACAUUGAUCAGUCGGUUCCGGGUUAGUUUAUGCUUCAGUUUGUUGAUUAUAAAUAACCAACCAAGAUAUAUAGAAAUAUCUUGCUUCAGGGGUUGCACUGAAAUCUUUCGAGUACUUGGA
rnacentral:lncRNA from 1 species